rnacentral:rRNA from 1 species
GACGAACGCUGGCGGCGUGCUUAACACAUGCAAAUCGAGCGAGGAACUUCGGUUCCUAGCGGCGGACGGGUGAGUAACACGUGGGUAACCUGGCUCAUAGAGGGGGAUAGCCUUCCGAAAGGGAGAUUAAUACCGCAUAAGAAGUGAGAAUCGCAUGGUUCUAGCUUUAAAGGAGUAAUCCGCUAUGAGAUGGGCCCGCGGCGCAUUAGCUAGUUGGUGAGGUAACGGCUCACCAAGGCGACGAUGCGUAGCCGACCUGAGAGGGUGAUCGGCCACAUUGGAACUGAGACACGGUCCAGACUCCUACGGGAGGCAGCAGUGGGGAAUAUUGCACAAUGGGCGAAAGCCUGAUGCAGCAACGCCGCGUGAGUGAUGACGGCCUUCGGGUUGUAAAGCUCUGUCUUUGGGGACGAUAAUGACGGUACCCAAGGAGGAAGCCACGGCUAACUACGUGCCAGCAGCCGCGGUAAUAC